GUGGAGCAGCACGGUAGCUCGUCGGGCUCAUAACCCGAAAGGUCGUCGGUUCAAAUCCAUUUACAACCA
rnacentral:tRNA from 1 species